GGUAUCUGUUGGUAGCGAGAGCAAUCACGCCCAUUCCUUAUCCUUAACCCCAAUACCUCAGGAUGAAAACAGUAACGAUGGUCUCAUCAUCGUUGAUGAAUCCUCCCCAAGCCAGUCAAUAGAGGGUGAUGAAUACUCCCCUGCUGGUAAAUCUCGCGUUGGGGUAGGUCGAGGCACAAGGGCCAAGCAGACCCCAGGAGUAUCCAAGAAGACCAGUCAGAGGAUCGGUAGAAGAGGGAAAGGAAUAGCUGCAGCAGCUAUGGCUGGAGCUAGAGCAGGGGCUGUAGCAGGAACUGCGGCUGCUUAUGCUGCAUAUGGCUUCAAUUUGGUUGGU